UUUGCUGGAAAAAAAAAAUUCGGGUCGAGUUGAGUUAUUUUAGUGAGUAAAAAAUUAUUUAAGGGUAAAAUAAUUUUGAAGGACUGGGAUAAUGACACGUGGCAGCAAUUAGACAUGAGACUAUAAUUAACCCAUAUUAUAACUGUAAGGUAUAAUUGGACCUAAAGUAUAACGAAGGUAUGUUUCAAACUAUUUUUCAAAGUUGAGGGUAAUUUUGGCCCUUUUCCGUUUGAUAAUUCUAGAAUCCAGAGGAGUUAAUUCAUAAUAGAGAGAUGACUCUCUUCUCUAGAUUUUCAAUUCAAAGGAUUGCCCUUUGAGUUCUCAUCUGGAUUUUGCAGUGUUUGAUUAUGUGCGCUUCGCCUUCUACUGUAAUCGAAUUGUUGUGGCAUCUCAGAUAUUGGGAAUUCAGUUUUACAACAACAACAACAUACCCAGUGUAUUCUCAUAAGUGGGGUUAGGGGAGGGUAGGAUGUAUGCAGGCCUUACCCCUACCUUUGUGGGGGUAGGGAGGCCGUUUCCGAUAGACUCUCGGCUCAAGAGAAAAACAGACCAUGUUGGCUGACUGCUACACACACGAUGAUGAUGAUUGGGAUCACAAGUGGUGUUAAUGCUAAUAACCAAUUAAGUUUUAGAGGAUGAUCAAAGGAUGCUUCUGAUAGAUUGAUACCCAUAAAGUGUUCGAUAAAUAUAUCAGGAAAAUAUUUCCUACUUCUUCAGAGGAUAGCACAAUACCAGCAACAUAUUGAAAUAGAAGCCAUUCUUUGUGUAUGCCCCCCGCUAAGACGAGCAGAGUAACAGGCCCUUUAGUUUAGAUUUCUAAGGAUUAACUCCAACAUGUAUAGUGAUGAGGACAACGAGUAAUAUAUAUCUUGAUAAUUAUGAGAUUUCUACUAUAUAGAAGAGUGAACAAUGGAACGACCAAGGGGAAAAACGUAAAUUAGCUCAGUGAAAAAGAAAUCUUCGUCACAUUUACACCAACAGAGACCCAAUAUAUAUGUCUAGAAACAUCCGUUCAUCUGUUUCUCUCCUUCAUAUUUCUCAAGUGCCACCCUCUCAAAGAAUGGUCUUUCAGUUUUCUUAAGUCUCAAUGAACUUUUUCGGUUGGUUACAACGUCAAGUAUGUUCAUCUUUCAAUUUUUGCCCAAUUCUUAUUCGUUUUUCCCCUUCAUCUUCUUUUCAAUCCUUGGCUUUUUCGGAUCUUUUCAGAUUCCUAAGAUUGUUAUCAUUCUGUCUUUCCAUAAGUUCGUCACCUGAACAUAGAAGCAUGGAACAUUGAAACAUUGAGUGGGAAAAAAAAAUACAAAAAUAGAUGACCAAAUAAAAAAGGGAAGGCUUCGUUAUGUAUAAACUGUAGAAGUGUGACUGAGAGUAGAUAAAGAUGAAAAAACAGAUGAUAGCAGUGUUUCAAUCUGAGUUGACUCCUUAGCGCAGAACGAGAAUCUCUUCACUGGAUAAUCUGGUGAUACUUUAAUAUUGUAAUUUUACAUCCAACAUUAAUGACAAUUUAGAUAUUUUGCCUAUUAACAAUGUUUCGAAAUAUCUAGACUACUCAAUAGCAUUCCCUAUCAGUCCUCUCCCUCGCAGGGUAUGAUCUAUGUUCGCCAUAAACUCAUUUGCUGACAGUGGGCGUCAAAAAACCACUAGACCAGCAAUUUCAUGGCUUUUCUCUGGUGUAUUAGGAUCUUUCUAAGGAUAAAAAGCAACCAAACUGUCAAAUUCCAAUGGUAAAAGAGGGACCAGGAUUCUUCGAUGCCUGAUGAAACUUCUGAUUGAAGACUACAGUUUAUAUAGCAAAUGACCUUGCAAAUAACCUUCUCAAGUGGUCUAAUCAGCUCUCUGAUGGUUGAGAUGGCUAAAACACUCAAUAUUGAGGCUCCUGAUUUGUGUGUAUGCCAAAGUCCUGCAACCAAUGCAUAUACACUGGCCGUUAGUGGUAAAAAAAGACUCUUGUAGUUGUUCAUAAAAGAAUCUUCUAAUAUGCAUUAUUAAAGAGAAGGAAUGUACUAAAUGAACUACUGCAAAGAUUCUGAAGACUUUUUGGCUGUACAUGUUUGAUUUAAAUCAUGUCAUCCUUGUUUUUUCUGUUGUUAUAUAGCAGAGGAAUGGAGAGAUGACACAAGAGAAACAGCUUUGAGCCAUUUUAAGAGUGCGGGACAACUUUUACUACGCUUGACUGCACGGGUAGAUGACGUGCACAAAAUCUGGUCCAUGUCGUAUGUUACAUUGUUCGAGAUUAGUUUGAAGAUGCAACGCCUUUCUGGAAAAAGUGUGCAUGAAGUAGUAAUGUCUCUUCCAAAUAAUUCACAUGAAUAUUCUUGUUUGGUAUUUACACAUGAAUCUUCUUUCUAUGAUGUAUCUUGUUACAUUUAUGUUUCAGUGUGUGACAAAAUACGUUUGUAUUGUUGUAUUGUUAUUGCCUCUAUUAUUCUAAAUAAAGUUCUAAAGUUUCAGCUUG